rnacentral:rRNA from 1 species
AAUAGAUACCCAGGUAGUCCACGCCGUAAACGGUGGGCACUAGAUGUGGGGCUCUUUCCAUGAGUUCCGCGUCGCAGCUAACGCAUUAAGUGCCCCGCCUGGGGAGUACGGCCGCAAGGCUAAAACUCAAAGGAAUUGACGGGGGCCCGCACAAGCGGCGGAGCAUGCGGAUUAAUUCGAUGCAACGCGAAGAACCUUACCAAGGCUUGACAUAUACGGUCUAUCCCUAGAGAUAGGGAGUGCUUCGGCGCCGUAUACAGGUGGUGCAUGGUUGUCGUCAGCUCGUGUCGUGAGAUGUUGGGUUAAGUCCCGCAACGAGCGCAACCCUCGUCCUAUGUUGCCAGCGGAUAAUGCCGGGGACUCAUGGGAGACUGCCGGGGUCAACUCGGAGGAAGGUGGGGAUGAGGUCAAAUCAUCAUGCCCCUUAUGUCUUGGGCUUCACGCAUGCUACAAUGGCCGGUACAAAGGGCUGCAAUACCGCGAGGUGGAGCGAAUCCCAAAAAGCCGGUCUCAGUUCGGA